rnacentral:sRNA from 1 species
UGUUUAUGGCAUGAUGACACAUAUCCGC